AUCUUUAACAAGCACAAGGCCCUGCAUUUGAUCCUAUGGACAUGAAAACCCUGGUCCUACUCUGUAUAAGAAGGCCUUUUUCAGUUUUAAAGCUGCUUGGUUGUUUCUGAAGGACGGUUACCGAACACCUGCACACUCCGAGACUGCGGCAGAGCUGACAAGCUCCGCCAGAGCUGAUCCCGCGCAUCCCCAGUCAAGUGAGCAGGACGGCACCAGCCCUUCAACACCGAUGGCAUGCGGGGCACUGGUUUAAGGUCAGCAUGAAUCAGACCAAGACUCUUCAGCUUCAUCAGGGCUGUGGCCACCUGCUGCAAGAUUGGUCUUAUGUACUUGAGUGGCAGUGGGCUAAACUUGUUCUGCUUUAGAAAAUCGUACAAGUUCUGCUCCAACAUCUCAAACACAAGGCAGGAGGGGUGGUUCUUCAAGAUCUUAAUGGCCACAAUUUCCUUGGUGCUCCGCUUCCAGCACUUUGCCACCUGUCCAAAUGUCCCCCGGCCUAGGAACUCCAGGACUUCAUAGCUGUUGGUCAUAGAGCAAAGGAUCUCAUGCUGGACCAGCUGGUAAUCCCCUUCUCCGCUGGAACUGCUACUCUUGGUGGUCACAGUGGUGGUCGUGGCAGCAGCACCCACCACGGUUCUGUUCUGCAGCAUGAGAGGGGGGUGUUCUUCUAUGAUCUGCACGCUGCCGUUGCUCUCCACUUCCUCACUCUUUCUCUUCAAUCCACAUUUUUGAUAUGGCUCAAGCAAAGAAACGUUGCUCCUGUGAGUCAGGGUCUGGCUGCUUU
ensembl:antisense Gm15886 predicted gene 15886